CUCAUGUAUUAUCCCAUAUGAUUCACUCAAAGGAUUCUCUGAAUUGGAUUGCACAGACUCUACAAGAAAACUGAGGUUUUGGAACUCAUGUGUUGCCCUGUAUCACAGAGCUAGCAACUGAGAGGACCGAGGGUCAACAUGAAUUUUUCUGACUCUUGAGCUUCAUGUUCUCAUUGAGGAAUUUCCCUUCUACUUCCCAUGCUAACUCACAGGAGCAAGGAUUCCCCUACUCCAAGUCUCUGGUGUGGUUCCUGUGGCCCAAGAAGGGACUUCCAGUAGGUUGGCAAGGAGCCUAAGGGGAGGGUCAGAGCAGGUCAGAGAAGGGCAGCCACAGGCAGGAAGUAGAAGAAAGCAAACAAGUGGGGCAGACAAUGUUAAAUAUCAACCAGCUGAUCUCAAGGGUCAAGGACCCUUCAAAAGAAGAGUCAGAGGAUGGGGUAAAAUUCAGAGAUAAAACUCUAGAGAAUACAAUAAUGACAUACAAAGGGCAGAAACUGAAGCAGAAGUGUGUCGUGAAUCACCCAAGAGAGUAACGGGGAGAGGACGGAGAGUCGUGACUGAGACCUCAGUUGAGCCACAGUGGGGAUGGGUCAAAACAAAGUGGAUUUGAUUUUUUUCAUAAAAACAGCUCCUCCCUGAGAAUCAUCUUCAUUUCUGGAAGUCAAGAAAUGAGAAAUGAAGAAAUUAGAACCAGUGAUCAAAAUGACAUAAAAAAAAGAAGAAAGAACUUUGAGUCCUUAUUUCAGCAACUGCCAGCUUUUGUAUCUGAAGAACAUGUGAAAAUAUCCAUUUUCAGAGUUCUACUAUAUAUCUCUUCCUAGCCAGAG